rnacentral:rRNA from 1 species
AAAGGGGCUUCGGCCCUGAGUAGAGUGGCGAACGGGUGAGUAACACGUGGGUGAUCUACCUUCGAGUGGGGGAUAACGUUCCGAAAGGAACGCUAAUACCGCAUGACGUUCUGGGUUUAAAGACCUGGAAACCAAAGCCGGGGACCGCAAGGCCUGGCGCUUGAAGAGGAGCCCGCGUCCGAUUAGCUAGUUGGCGGGGUAAUGGCCCACCAAGGCGACGAUCGGUAGCCGGCCUGAGAGGGCGGACGGCCACACUGGAACUGAGACACGGUCCAGACUCCUACGGGAGGCAGCAGUGGGGAAUUGUUCACAAUGGGCGCAAGCCUGAUGACGCAACGCCGCGUGGGGGAUGAAGGUCUUCGGAUUGUAAACCCCUGUCGAAUGGGACGAAAGACCCGGGAGCUAAUCAUCCCGGGAGUGACGGUACCGUUAAAGGAAGCCACGGCUAACUCUGUGCCAGCAGCCGCGGUAAUACAGAGGUGGCAAGCGUUGUUCGGAAUUACUGGGCGUAAAGGGCGCGUAGGCGGCCAUCUAAGUCAGACGUGAAAUCCCCCGGCUUAACCUGGGAACUGCGUCUGAUACUGGACGGCUUGAGUAUGGGAGAGGGAUGUAGAAUUCCAGGUGUAGCGGUGAAAUGCGUAGAUAUCUGGAGGAAUACCGGUGGCGAAGGCGGCAUCCUGGACCAUUACUGACGCUGAGGCGCGAAAGCUAGGGGAGCAAACGGGAUUAGAUACCCCGGUAGUCCUAGCCCUAAACGAUGAAUGCUUGGUGUGGCGGGUAUCGAU